rnacentral:tRNA from 1 species
AAAUAAGAAGUAAAAUUUACUUUUAGUUUCGACCUAAAAUUUUGAUGAUUUUUCAUCCUUAUUUA